GGGUUGCCAGGGCGACCGCUGAGCUGCGGAGGCCUCGUGGGAAACGGACCUCCGCACCCCAGCGCCUGGAGAGGCUUUGCGGAGUCAAGAGACUGUUUGCCGCUCAGAGGUCGUUUCCCUGCGACGCGCGGAGCACGGCCACGACUGGCGCGCCCGCCAGAGGCCUCGAUCGCUCUGGUUUUCCGGGGUGACUGGACGGGAAAACAGGCCAGAGCGGUUAGAGGAUGUGCCCAAAGCCGUACUGCUAACGCGAGCUAACGAGGAAUUCCCCUUUCCUCCGCUUCAAGACGGCAGACCAAAUAGCCCCGUGAUCCGCUCUCACCGCAUAAGAGCAUGUUAAAUUAAAUAAUGAUUAAAUUAUUAAACAAUAAAUAAUUACAGCUCCGUUUA